ensembl:snRNA U2 U2 spliceosomal RNA
AUUGCUUCUCGGCCUUUUAGCAAAGAUCAAGUGUAGUAUCUGUUCUUAUAAGUUUAAUAUCUGAUACGUCCUCUAUCCAGGACAACGUAUUCAACGGAUUUUUGGAGCAGGGUGAUGGAAUAGGACCUUGCCUGGUCCAUUCUACACACGGACUUUGUAUUGCGGUAUUUCCAGGAAUGGUGCACCCCCC